ensembl:lncRNA
CAGAGAUUGUUGGACAAGCUGAGACAAGAGUUAAUUUUCCUGUGGUUUUUCCUGGUGUUUAACUCUGUGCAAAGCAGAUGCAAAGCCAGUGGAGAACGACUACAGGAAGAUAGAGUCCCAUCAGGACACCCUCGGUAGGAAGAGCAAAUGGAGCCGAGUUUUCUGCAGUUCUCAUGAGGCAGCAGCAUUUCAGCAGGCAGAGCUGGAGGAGUCAAGCAGCCAGAGUCAGUGCACAAUUAGGGAGAGAAAAAGAGCAAAAUCUCCAUCCAAUCUGCUUCUAGCUUGACAGAUAAUGAAAAACAUUUCAGAUUUAUCCUUUCCAAAUUGC